rnacentral:rRNA from 1 species
AAGUCGAGGGGCAGCGGGGUAGUAAGCCUGCUUACUACUGCCGGCGACCGGCGCACGGGUGAGUAACACGUAUGCAACCUGGCCGUCACAGAGGGAUAACCGGGAGAAAUCCCGCCUAAUACCGCAUAAUACCGGGGAAGGACAUCCUUUCCCGGUCAAAGGAGCGAUCCGGUGACGGAUGGGCAUGCGCCGCAUUAGUUAGUUGGCGGUGUGACGGACCACCAAGACGACGAUGCGUAGGGGUUCUGAGAGGAAGGUCCCCCACACUGGUACUGAGACACGGACCAGACUCCUACGGGAGGCAGCAGUGAGGAAUAUUGGUCAAUGGGCGAGAGCCUGAACCAGCCAAGUCGCGUGAGGGAAGACGGUCCUAUGGAUUGUAAACCUCUUUUGCCGGGGAGCAAAAAGCGGUACGUGUACCGCAUCGAGAGUACCCGGAGAAAAAGCAUCGGCUAACUCCGUGCCAGCAGCCGCGGUAAUACGGAGGAUGCGAGCGUUAUCCGGAUUUAUUGGGUUUAAAGGGUGCGCAGGCGGCGAGUUAAGUCAGCGGUAAAAUUUCGGGGCUCAACCCCGACGAGCCGUUGAAACUGGCUUGCUAGAGUGGGCGAGAAGUCCGCGGCCCGCGUGGUGUAGUGGUGAAAUG